CAUAUGUAUACUAUGUAUCAGGUGCACACAAGAUGCUUACAAUUGAGCGGUCUACACUACACAAACCAUCAUUUUGGUCCUUUAUACAUACAAGAGGCGAGGGGGGACACAUACAUACAUUCGACCGCCAAUAAUUCAACUGUCGGUUAUCAAUCGGCUGUGUGUAUCUUGUUUCAAUCGGCAAUGGUGCAUAUACAUUUCACACCAAGGGCGAUGUAGAAAUGCAAGAACAGAAGCUUUGCGAGGUGGUUGUUGAUGAAUCAUGUAAGGAUGGUGCAGAACUCACAAGAGGGAAAAGACCGAACUGCGGUAACCAAAUCAAAUAGCUGAUAAGGUUCACUUGGAAGUGGUUGAGGUAGCCUAACCUGGUGAGACCUGGU